rnacentral:rRNA from 1 species
AUUGAACGCUGGCGGCAGGCCUAACACAUGCAAGUCGAGCGAGCGGCGGACGGGUGAGUAAUGUCUGGGAAACUGCCUGAUGGAGGGGGAUAACUCCUGGAAACGGUAGCUAAUACCGCAUACCAUCAGAUGUGCCCAGAUGGGAUUAGCUAGUAGGUGGGGGAACGGCUCACCUCGGCGACGAUCCCUAGAUGUUCUGAGAGGAUGACCAUCCACACUGGAACUGAGACACGGUCAAGACUCCGACGGGAGGCAGAAGUGGGGAAUAGUGCACAAGGGGCGAAAGCCUGAUGCAGCCAUGCCGCGUGUGGGAAGAAGGCCGUCGGGUUGGAAAGUACUUUCAGCGGGGAGGCGUGACCCGCAGAAGAAGCACCGGCUAACUCCGUGCCAGCAGCCGCGGUAAUUC